UCAAAGUUCAAACCUUCUAUAAAGCCAACGGCUACAACGGUGUAUUCCUUCUCUUUCUCUCUAUCUCUACUCUUUAUUCCUCUAGUCGUCGGAGACAAAUUUAUCGUCACCGUUGAUAAAAUAUUGGCGAAAAUAUCGGUUUCCAUUAAAACCGAUGACCCCAAUCUAGGCGAACGGGCAAAAGGUGGACUCCAGCAAUUAAUCGCCAUUUUUCUAUUUCUUUUUCUUCUUUUAAGGCUCCUAAAAGGCCUAUUCACUUUCGGCUCUUUCCAAUCGGUAAGAAUCCACUCUCUCGUCCCUGCAAUUCUCGCACGUCAAUUUUUUUUUUCUCGAUUUUGCAUUAUAGACCCAAAACUUUCAAAGUGUUCUCUACAAUGACUCAUUCUGAUAAACCCAGAAGCUGAAAAGAAAUUCGGUUUUCUUUACGAGAUUCAGCUUCUGGGUUUAUUUUGUUUUUGGUCAAAUGGCUGAUGUUCCUAUUUCCUUCUGACUGGCUUCUAGAUUCAAAAUUUGAAGCUCAAAGGGAAAUCUGUUUCCUUUUCAAGUUUCAGCUUCCGGGUUUUAGUUCGCUCUUGUUCAAUUUGUUGAGAAUCCCGUUUCCUUCUUGCUGGAUUUUGGAUUCAAAUUUUGAGGCUGAAAGGGUGUUCCCUUUUUCAAGUUUCAUCUUCUGGGUUUACUUUGUUCUUGUUUAAAUAGCUGGAAAUCACAUUCCUUCUACCUUGAUUUUAGAGUCAAAUUCUGAAUAGAUAGCGAGAGAGGGGAGAAAAUAGAGAUAAUGUCUGCUGUUGACGUUGCUUUGGGCCCGAUUCAUAAAGAAUCGCCAUAUUUCCGCUGUUAUAGCCACAAUAGCCAACAGGCACCUGUGCCUGAAGACUCAUCAAUUCUAAUAUAUCUUAGUGUCGCUGGUUCCCUCAUUCCUAUGCGGGUUUUAGAGUCCGAUUCUAUAGAAUCAGUGAAGCUAAGGAUCCAGACGAGUAAAGGGUUUGCAGCAAAAAAACAGAAGCUUGUCUUUGGAGGCAGAGAGUUGGCCAGAAACAAUUCGCUUGUCAAGGACUACGGUGUCAUUAGUGGCAAAGUUUUGCAUUUGGUUCUUAAGCUUUCUGAUCUCUUGCUUAUCACUGUACGUACCACUUGUGGACGGGAAGUUGAGUUCCAUGCAGAUAGAUAUAGGAAUGUUGGGUAUUUAAAGCAACGAAUAUUUAAAGAAGGGAGAGUUUUUAUUGAUGUUGAGGAACAAGAGAUCUUUUACAAUGGUGAAAAGCUUGACAACCACAGGCUUAUUGGCGAUAUAUGCAUCAACAAUGAUGCUGCCAUUCAUUUGUUGGUCCAAAAAUCUGCACAGGUGAGGGCUACGCCCUUGGAGAAAGAUUUUGAGAUCUCCAUUGUGGCAGUGAAUCCCAAUGAGAGAAGAGAGAGUGAAGUAGAAGGAGGACAGAAUCAACCUGAGGAGGUUCAGGUUCUGGCUAGGGAGCAACCUGGUAGAGAUUUCUGGUUGGAACCGGUUAUUGUUAAUCCUAAGAUCAGAUUGAAUUCAGUUUUUUGGGAUAUGGUUAACUCUACAUUUGAUGGGUUGGAGAAAGGUAAGCCACCCAUCCGAUCAUCUGAGGGUACUGGAGGAACUUAUUUUAUGCAAGAUCCAUUAGGCCAGAAGUUUGUUUCUGUUUUUAAGCCCAUCGAUGAGGAGCCAAUGGCUGUGAAUAAUCCCCAGGGUCUACCUGUCUCAUCGAAUGGUGAAGGGCUGAAAAGGGGGACAAAGGUAGGAGAAGGAGCAGUGAGGGAAGUAGCAGCAUACUUAUUGGAUCAUCCAAGAAGUGGUCCAAGGGCAUUAACUGGUGAGGUUAUGGGCUUUGCUGGUGUACCUCCUACUAUAAUUGUUCAAUGCUUGCAUGAAGGAUUCAACUAUCCGGAAGGAUAUGAAUAUGCAAUGAAAAAUGUAAAGACCGGAUCUUUACAGAUGUUUAUGAAGAAUGAAGGGAGUUGCGAUGAAAUGGGACCUGGGGCUUUCCCAGUGGAAGAGGUGCACAAGAUCAGUGUGUUAGAUAUGAGAAUGGCCAACACAGAUAGGCAUGCAGGAAAUAUAUUGGUUGGCAAAGGGGAGGAUGGUCAGAUAAAGCUCAUUCCAAUUGAUCAUGGUUAUUGCUUGCCCGAGAAAUUUGAAGAUUGCACAUUUGAUUGGCUCUACUGGCCUCAAGCCCACCAGCCUUACUCGCCUGAGGUAAUUGAUUACAUAGAUUCACUGGAUGCAGAACAAGAUAUCGCACUUCUGAAAUGUUAUGGGUGGGACAUUCCUCUUGAGUCUGCUCGUACACUUAGAAUCUCCACCAUGCUUCUGAAGAGAGGGGUAAAGAGAGGUCUCACUCCCUUUGCCAUUGGAAGUAUCAUGUGCAGAGAAACCCUGAAUAAGGAAUCAGUGAUCGAGGAGAUUGUUCGUGAAGCAGAGGAUUCCCUGCUCCCUGGCAUGAGUGAAGCUGUGUUUCUUGAAACUGUCUCCCAGAUCAUGGACUCCCGGCUUGACAAACUCACAGGGUAAUUAAUUGGCUCAGGUCAUGGAUUCCUUGACGAGCUCAAAAAAAUAAAUUUCAUAUGGUAUAAUUGUAGGUAAAUAUUUUUAUGUAAAUUGAAUGAUCAGUCCAUUUUUAGAUGGACUGUAUGAUGUAUAUGGUUGGCUUUUAUUGUCAUGCAUGAGCUUGAAAAACCCUCUUUCAAUUUUCAUGCUGCUGCUAUCGCUUCAGUCAACCAAUAGUUGAGGUUUGUAUUGGGAUGAAGAACAGAAGUUCAAAAACAAUGAAUAAUAUAUGUUAUGCUUAGAUUUGUAUAUAGAUUGCAGGAAUGUCUGGGUCUUGUGUAGUAUAUGAUAUCCCAAAUUUAGUCUUGGGGGCCUAUAAAUGAUGAGCCAUAGCCUGGGGAAUUGGGGUGGCAUACUGGCAUUUGUGGUCACUUUAAACCCAAUGCCACUUAUUGUAUUAUCUGAUGCAUUUUUUAUGUAAAAAAAUAGAAGGAAAAAAAAAUGUAAAAAAUAUAAGGAAAAAGUUGCUGUGUGAAAUAGACUGCAAUUUGGAGGUGAGCAAAAAUGUGCACAGCUUGUUGGUGUUUAUCCACUGCCAUUCUACCUUGCCUUGGUUAGCAUUCAGGUUCACAGGUCAAAAUCACUUGGCAAUUUAGGACAGCCUGAAAGAUGAAAGAGGCAAAUUUUGUCCACAGGCCUAGCGUUUACAAAGGAAUCCAAUCAGGGAGUGCUACAGCCCAUCUCACUAUAUUAGCAAUGGCUUAAGUAUGAGCGAUGGCUUAAGUUCAAACUUCAUGUAUCAACCUAAGGUCCAUUUCACAUCAAGAGAACACAAUAAUGGAAAAUAAUGCGGUCAGUACAAAAGAAAAAGAGGGAGAGAGGAAAAUAAU
rnacentral:misc_RNA from 1 species